rnacentral:lncRNA from 1 species
GGGACCCAUGCCAGGAAUGCCACAGUCGGGGAGCAAAUUCUCGUGGGGAUGGCAUCUAUGCCAGCCAGCCAGCACCCUCCCUCCCUCCCCCGAGUUCGCUUUUGCAGACCACCCUCGCGUGUCUUUUUGCCUAUUUCGGUGCUUGUCCCCAACCUGGGGUGUGUCCAAUCUCCACCCGCGUCAUGCAACGGCAGUUAAUGGAGCUCACUGUUUACACUGCAUCCACCGUCUAUUUGAUUGUUUGUUUGAUUGAUGGGCGUGUAGCAGUGUGUUUACCCUUCGGCAAGUUGGUGAUGGGUGGUUGAGAUCAGCAGCUGUGUAUGAUUCUACACUCGCUUGAGAUAACCAAACAAAAACCCAGCUUAGCUGCAUUAUGUUGUUUUCCUUGUGUUUACAAUUACAGACCUUUUGUCACUUUUUUCCUUCUUUUUUUUUUUGUAUCUUUUGUUCCAGACAAGGCUAAUUAUGCAUGCUUAAUUUCUUAAGGAAACAUGGAUUAAAUUGAAUAAAAUUGAACUUUGAUGUCUGAUUCAUGAUGUAUGUUGUUGUAACACGUUUCCAUCUUUCUUACUUACUGUUCAUGAGGCUUUUCAGUGGUUUAUGUCACACAUAAUUAUUCAUGAGUUACCAAGUUGCAGGAUUCAAAGGGACAAAUUCCAAACAGGGUUAACUGGUUGGCCUUCAUUUUUAUUUUAUUUUUCACUUAGCUACUCAGAUAUCCUUUAUUUUGAACCACUUGUGUAACAAAAAAACUCACCUGUCUUCAAGUUAAUAUCCAUGAUGAAAUUAAACUAUUCUGCACACAAACAUGCAUGUUAUAAAUCCUUCCAUCUAAGCACAUCCUCAUAUUCAGACCCAUGUUUUUUUUUACACAAUUUCAUUCAAAUUCAUGCAUCCAUCCACAAAUUGAAAGGGGCUAUUUCACAUUCUCCAAUGCUGAAACACUCAACUGCCUCCUUCAAAUUUGGAAAGCAGAGGUUGUAACACUAGAAUGGGAUCAUGGCACCUCCCUUUUUCUUCUUCUGCUUCUUCUUCUUCUUCUUCUUCUGUUUCUCCCCCUUGUGCUCACAAGGUUCAAUUCCAUUCUCUCUCUCUCUCUCUCUCUCUCCCUUUUGGAUAAGUCUGGAUUGUGCCAUCAGUGUCCCAUCCAAUCUCAGGGAGUAUGAACUCAAAGGCCAAGCCCUAAUCAAUCACCCAUGGAUGGAUGCUUACAGCCAUUAAAGCAAGAGCAGUAGGAGGAGGAGAAGCAAGACUUCCUAAGCUUGCCAUCCUGCCAUUUCUAACAAGGGUUGAGAACAAAGAGGCAAAUGUAGGUACCUCUGAACUUUGAUGAUUAUGCAAGAUCAAACCAAACUUAGAUGUAGAGAUGUCACAGUUGAAACAAUAGACAAUACUCUGGCCACAAAACUUGAAACACAUUUAUCUCCUUUGCAUACAAAUCCAGGAAGGGAGAGAGGGCCCUACCCAAAUGCCAGCUAGGCCAUAACCACAUCUAUUCAUGUAUAUGGGUUCAAUGCCUGGAGGCUCAUCUGAGUGGGUAAGUUUCAACCCAUUGGGUUGGAACCAAUCUUUUAGAUUAAGAACAAUUUUAAGUGAAAUCAUGAGCAAGAAGAGUCCAGAACAUGCUGGAAAUCCAGGGAGAGCCUGGAUAUCCCAGUGGCAUACUAUUCUCAGGGGACCAAAGGUGGAAAAAUGUGGUCAGAGGUUGUGCUGGAAUUGAUGCUGAGAAUGGCAGUAACCCAAUUAUGGGACUCUACACAUGGAGAUCUUCGUGUGUUUGUGAGAGAGGCAUACAAUUGGCAUUGUAUUAGGGCAUCUCUCCCUCUGUAUAUGAUUGGGUUCUGUCCUUGCUUCUGCUUCUCAUGGGGGGGAAAAAAAGGAUGUGACUCUGGGAGCUUGUGGUGUCUAUUUCCCAAAGGGGGGGGGGUGUAAGACCAGUCAAGCCCAGUGUCAAUCCAGCUUGGUCCAGAAGCUUCACCAAUCAUAGGCACAAUUAGUAUUGGCACCAGUCAAAGAAGCAGGGGCAGCAGCAACAGCAAGAAAUCCCAGAAUGCAAUUCCUCAGCCCCCAAAAGAACACAACAAAUGAAUACAGAAAGAAAAAAAUAUAUAUAUAUCAUUCAUCCAGUUCAAUGCUUACUACCAAUGCUAUCCUAUUCUUACUUUUUUUACUGUUUUUCUUCCUCUCUCUCUCUCUCUACAAAUUAUAAACAAUUAAAUGGUUCAUAUAUAUAUAUAUAUAUAUAUACAAAAUUUGUGUGUUAUUCUCAAUGGCUUAAAUUAUCAAUACUGCAGUUGUUAGUUUUGAUACAUAUGUGGAGUUUGUGGGUCAAGUGGAACAAUGGAAUACUUGACUGUGUUGAUCAAUGGGAAUCAUUGGACCUCUUUUCUGAGAUAAUAAUGUGCUCUUCAUAGGUGGUAAAUGCUUACCUUCUAAUUGAGAAUAUUGUGUUCUUAUCUCCUCUGAUCCUGACUGGCUGUAUAAUAGUGGUUGUGUACUACUUGAUGCAAUGUAAAAGGCAGAUUCUGCAUGGAGAUCAAGGAAAUUCAAGAAUAUAAAAAUCAAUAAAAAAAAAAAAAAAUUGUGGUGCAUUUUGGGAGUUCUAUAUCCUAAUCAGCAGAUGCAGCACUUUAGAAUGCUGCAUUUGGAGUUGUAAGUUGGCUCUUUGUCCUUUUUCACUUCCAUAUUUAUUUUCUUUUGAAUGCCAGAGGUUUUUAAGAAGAGAACUGAGCUGGCUGCCUUGGACCACUCUAUUUCAAUUCAUAAUGUUAUAUCAGAUCACAUGAGGUCCACAUGGGCAAAACUAUUUUGGCUUGUUAUUAAGAGUUACCAAAAGAAAACAAUGAAGUCUUGUUCAAAUAAGUGUUGAUUGCCAAAAAAGCUUAGGAUUUAAACUUUCAAACCUGUCUGAGUAACACAGUUGUUGAAGAACUUCAAUGUUUUGCCAUGUGACAAGCAAUGUGAAAUGUUGGGAAAAAAACCUUCCCAAUCACCAGCUUUUGUUUUUAAUCCACAUGUACAGCCCCAUCAAAUGCUGCAGUUCUGAAAUAUAAAUGCAACAACAGUAUGCAUUUAAAGCACAUCAAACAUCUUCAUAGCAAAAGUCAUCCAUUUAUUUAAAUUUCCUUCAAAAGCAUUAGCACUUUGUACAAUUUAUAUGCACAAGAAUGUCUAGUCAAAAGAAGCCCAGAGGCAGUGUCAGAAUCUGGCUGCCAUUCCAAGAGUCCAGCCAAAUGUGGCAUGUCUCAUUUACAAACAGUUCUUAUUUAUAUACUUGUAUGAGUAACCAUGAUGCAGUGAAUAUGCAGUCAUUGUUGUUGGCAACAAGAGAUUCCUUCUUUUUAACAGGUAUGGUCAGAAGCACAAUGCUGUUCAGUUGGUGACAGCUAGAUUAAUCAAAAUUCUCACAUUUGUGUGGCAGGAGAGACCAUUCAGAAAAUUGGUCAGCAUGUGUGAGUACUAUGGCAGGGAUUUUUUAUUUGAAGUUUUAAAGGAGAUAACAUGGACUUUUAGGUCCUUGAAAGUUUUUGGGUAUGUGUGUGUAAUAUCUUGUUGAAAAAUAAACCAAGCAUUUUAAAAAACUUGUGUAAAGAAUAAAUAAAGGCUGAACAGUUGCUGCAAAGUGAUUGAUUUCUGUAGAGUGUAAAACUGCUGAAUGAGUGAUAUAGUUGUUUGUGUGAAUUACAGUGAUUUUGUGUUUUCAAAGCUUGAUGUAAGGUCACAUUCAUCAAAGACCAGGCUGACUGUAAUGCCUGAGACUUACAUCCAGUGUUAUGUAUUCAUUUUUGUAUAAUUUUUCUGAACAGGGUUGGAAAGAAAACUAUAACAAUUAAAAUAAAAGGGAAUAAAAUAAAUAAAUAAAUAAGAAGUUACUUGUAUGUUAUGCUUAAGGUUCAAAUUGUAACUAGUCACCCAAUAUCCUUACACAACUAACCACAUCCAUGACUUCCAGAAAGUUCCUUUUUAAUAUCUUGUAAAAAGAACUUUAAUGUUUAUGAAAAAAAUACACACACACACCCACACAUAUAUAUAUUUAUAAACCAUGCUUCAGAAUUUGAAAGAGUGCGUCAGUCAUUUCCCCUUCAUUGUUCCUAUUUUAUUAUUAUUUUGGGGAUGAGAAAGGACAACUUUGACCAGGUCCGUACGCCUGCCGUAUGUACGAUCACGGCCCACACUGGCACCUGUUCCAAAUCCAAAUCUGGGUAGUUAUCGUUCCGGGUGUCAAUCGAAAACGCCUCAGCGGACGAUUUCGGAAAGCAGUUUCCAUGGCUUGUUUCAUUAAGCCAUUCAUUAUUUGCAUUUUGAACUUUGGCAAGUUCAUUAAGCCAUUGUUACAGCACGACAUCGAUUAAUCAGAGGGGUGGGAACUUCUUACUUGUGGAAAAUAUACAUUUAUUUCUUACAUUUAUACAUGAUUAGAGCUACAUCCAUUUUUCGUUUUGAUUUUUGUAAAUUUUUCUUGUACAAAAGAUCUUCCCCGAAAUUGUAUUCAUGCUGUUGCCAAAAUGAAAUAAACGUGAGUAUUGGAUUGAGACCAAGUUGUGGGGUUUAUUAUGAAACAGAAAUAAGGAAGUGAAAGGGGAAGUAAUGAGAGUGUUGAUAUAUUGAGGGCCAGAAAGAAAGAGGGGCUAAAUCAGCAUAGAUGAGAGGGAUCUGAGGAAUGGGAUACAAGGCCCCCAUUAAUUGUAUCCUUACGUGUGGACAAAAAGUCUUAGCUGGAUGCCAGCUGGAAUCCCAACAGCCAUUAGGAGGUGCAGCAGGGAAAUCGCGAUAUUGUGGAAAAGUAAUCGAGAAAGGAAAAAAGGAAAAGGAAAAAGAAAAAGCAACGCGGGUUUCUCUCCGCUCCUUCCUCUCCCCCUUCCAUGUGGUUCACUACGCUCUGGCAGACAAUCCAUGUGAUUUCGGAGAUCUGAGAGUGUCUUUCCAUAGUAUUCAUGGACAAUGGACUUCCGAGUCCCUCAGAUGGCCCUCCAUUCCUGACGUGGCUCUCUCCCUUUGGUACAAAAUCCACAAACUCCUGCAAAAUUGGAGAAAGUUAUUGGUUUUUUAAUUAAAAUUUUGACCCUCAAAAUGAAAUUUUCAUAGAAAAGCAGAGUUUACUCAAUAUGAAUUGAUUUAGGACAGUGUAGUGAUUUUGGACAUUGUGGUAUAGUAUGAACCAAGCUAAUUUUAAAAAUGGCUUGGUCUCCCGUGGUGCUGAUUGUGCAUUUCUACGAAUGGGCUCACUUUUUCGAGGUGAAGCGUGAUCUGUGGGCUCCACUCACUAUUCACGAUUCACGAUUACCAGUAAACAAUGAUGAAAGGAACUGGGGAGCUGGAUUCCAUUGCCAACGUGGCCAUGAGGCCCGGUCGACGAGAUUUCGCCCGCGAUUUCCCAACUUCCGUCCGUCCAUGUCCAAGGGGAAGGCGACAGCCAGCUGCCAAGACUGGCCUCCAGUGAACUCGUUGGGACAAAUCCUCAGCCCCCCCCACCCGGCCCGGCCCGGCCUGCACUUUUGUGUUUCUUUCUUGCAAUGGCCGUGACCUAGUCGAUUUUUUCGCCACAUCCCGAAACCCUAAUUUUACAAUAAGUAAAGUUCAAACUCAUACGAGGAAAACGUAUUCUUUUGCAUGUGAGAGAGAGAGUUUAUGCAUCAUUUUUACUUUGGAUGUAGAAAGGAAUAAAAGGAGUUUAAUAAUUUUCUUUGUUUGGAAUGGAGGUUGGGAAAUAGACUCAAUAUGAAUUGGAUGUUGUGGAGUCGUUGUUGGGGACCUUGAGGGAAUUUAAUGCGUAUCAAAUAGAGGCCCCUAUUGCCUCUCUUGGCCUUCUUCUCCUUUUUCAACUUUAAUUAAUUAAUUAAUUUAUUUUUGUGGUUUGGGUUGAAUAGUGCUCCUUUUUUGAAGGUGUACGUUGUUACAACAAUUAUUCUGGUACCGUAGUACUAAAAGGUAACUUUAACGUUCUGAAACAGCUAUGAGGAGCAGGAAAGAAAAGAAAAGAAAAGAAAAGAAAUAGAGAAUGGGUGAACCCUAUUGCCAAAUAGUAAGGGUGGAAUAUUCUUCCUUCAUUUCCUCCUCUCUCACUCUUCUUCAAUGUGGCAUGCAUCUUGCCUCUCGCUCAAAAAAAACAUUACCUGGGCUCUUUUGCAACACAAGGAAAAUGCUUUUGUGUGCUGCUUUGACAUCUUUAGAGCACUGGCAAAAAAAAACAGUUACAUAAAUCACAAGGCCCCACAUGAAGAAAAUUAGUAUGAACAAUCAAAAUAAAUCACAUAGUAAACAAUAAAAAAGUGCUGUUUAUGUUGUCGUAAGUAACUAAAUAGUUCUUGUGCUCAGUAUUAGUAAAGUAAAAGAAUAACAAUGUGAAUGUGAAGUUGUGGGUAAAACAAAUUAAAUUCAGAGAAAGAACAUGAUGAACUAAAAAGUUAAUCUAUAAUAAUGGAUAGGUGUUGUGAAGUUUUUUCUUUCACAUGGGGUGUUGGAUUCCAUGAUUGCUAUAUUAAAAUGGUGUGAUUGUCAUUUAGAAAUGAUUUGUUUGAUUCAGAAAUUUCUUUAUAUUGUGUUGUGUCGAACUCCAAGUGCACUUGGCCUUUAGCCAUUCAUUUAUUUGGGUCUAGCUGGAGUGCAGUUAAAAAGCACCACAUUCUCAUGCUCCAAGCUCUGUGGGGAAAAUUUGCAGUUACUACAAAUUGCAUAAAAUACAAUAAAAUAAAGCAAUUGGGUUGUCUAUAAUGUGUGGCAUUUCCAGGCAGGAGAUAUGAUAUUUCAACACUGAAGCAUCUGCAGCCACACGUCAAAGGAAAUUAGUUUGAUUGUUCUGUCUCCAUGUUCUGUAGAAAUCGCUGCAUGUGUAUACCUAGCAAUUGCACUCAGUUGUUUGUUUUGUUUUGUUCUGUUUUUCAAAUUUUUUAUUAUAUAAGCUUUGAUGUGGAUUUGAGCAUGGAGUUGAAGAAUAGGUCCAAAACAAGAAACUUAGAAACAGGAUUUUUAAUUGCUGCGCAAAGCCUUUGCAUAUGAUCACAUGAUGCUCACUUUUUACUAAAGGACAGGGCAAGGAUCUCAUGUGCCCCCCCCCCUCUUGAUAAUUAUGAAUUCUAUAACCCUAAAUCUCAAAUGUUUGACUCUGUCUGUGUGUGUGUGUGUGAACUGGAAGUUCUCAUACCCUACUCUUGAGCUUCCUUUUUAGGGUUUUGUGAGUUAGCAAGGGACUUGUUUGUAGAACCAUCUGGAACCUUGGACUUCUGCAUUCUGGGGAUUUGCAGACUUGAUGGGGUACAUUUGUUUAGUUGGGUGAGCAGAAAGUAUGCCUAAAAAUGGGUUAUAUAUACAUGGAAAAGUCUCUCUCUCUCUCUCUCUAUAUAUAUAUAUCUAUCUGGCGUUGCCCACCAAGCCCUGAUCCUAUUUCUCCCACCCAGAUCAUGAACCCAAGGGUACACUAAAACACACCAACUUUAACACCUGUAACAUGAUUUUAUUAAUUUUUGAUGUUGAAACCGAUGUUGCAAAGCUUUGGAUUCAUUAAUUUUUUUUAUUUAAUUUUUCAUUCUUUUCCUACAAAAUCCACCAUGACAUGGGAAAAGAGGAAACUUUGAGCUCAUUGGUUGUGUGUUUCUCAAAGUAAAAGGCUCUUGUGGUUGGCAAAGGGGAUGAUGACAUCAUUGUUAAUCACAAGGUAGUUGGACAUCCAAAGGGCUUGUUAUACACACAACCAUAUGAUUAUGGGCCAAAAAGCUACCAUUCCAGCACAAUCCUCAAGAGAUUGUGAAACACAAAGUUCUUUGGCACUACAUGGCAUUGGGUAUAAUUAAUAUCUAUUUCUUCAUGCAUUUUUAUACCCCCCCCCCCACUUCCCAAAAUUUAGUAACAGUAAAAGGAAAAAAAAAUAAACAAUAAUGGUCUAAUAAUUCAUUGAUUCUGUCAGAAAAGAAAGUGGAAUUCCAUUACAUUGCUUUUUGAUUUUGGGUUUUUGUUUAAUUUUUUCGGAAUCAAGCAACAAUGUGCAUUGUGGGCUGGCUGGGUUCCCUUUCCUUUCAUUCCAAGUCCCAAGACAAAGGAUCACAUCUCCAAUCUUGGUCCCCCCUGCCUUUUGCUUUUUUUCUCUUUUCUUCCUGGGCUGGCUUUUGCUGCUGAGGAAUACACACACACUCACACACUCAUAUAUAUAGAUAUAGUUAAAUAGUGUAAGUAUGUGUCAUACCAAAGUAGCAGUAGUAGUAAUGGUAGUGGUGCUGGGGGGCAAAUCAUCUCAGAAAAAUAAUGAUAAAUGAGCCAAAAUGAUGAAUGUACCCACUACUCAUACCAAUAAUUAUGGGAUGGAGCCCCCCUUUUCCUUUGCCAUUUCCUUUACUUAUUCCCCCUUUUUUGUUUCCGUUACUCAAGGCAAGUCAUGAUUUGGGUUUGACACUGGUAUUAGGUUUUGGUAGAGAGAACAAGCUCGACAGAACAUCCCAUGAAGUGCUGGGGAAGGCCUUGAAUGACCCAAAUCAGCACAGCAACAUGCUUGCUAUUAUUAAAAAUACUAAUAAAAAUCAAUCUCUGUAUUUUAUUUCCUUUGCAUUUAUGGCGAGUGAUAGAUGGUAAAUUUUAAUAACAUAAAUAAUAGUAAACUUGAGAUGCCAACAACAAUAUGACAAACUUGUGUGAAAGGGGAGGGGAGAAACACAUAAAAAAUAAAAAUAAAACUAAAACAUUUUAUGUGCCAUGUUGUAGACUAUAUAUCCAAACACAAAGAAUUGGCCAAAGAUGUGAAAUGGGGGUUUGAAGGUUUUGUACAUAUCUGUGGUCAUGGAUCUCCUGGAUAGUGUGAAAGAAUGAAGAGAAGACAUAGAUAAGGCAAAAAAAUACUGCUGAAUAAUGGCUUUUUAUUUAAUGCUGUAUCCAAGUUUCAAGGCUUCUCAAUGAGAGUACAUUUUUACCAACUUGAGGAACUUUGUAAGACUUUUGUAGUGUAUCUUUU